UUAUUUAUUAACCGACUUCCAAAAAAGGAGGAGGUUCUCAAUUCGACUGUAUUUAUUUUAUUUUUUUUAACCGACUUCCAAAAAAGGAGGAGGUUCUCAAUUCGACUGUAUUUUUUUUUUUUUUUUAUGUAUGUUACAUCAGAACUUUUGACCGGGUGGACCGAUUUCGACAAAUUUUGUCUUAAUCGAAAGGUGGUGUGUGCCAAUUGGUCCCAUUUAAAUUUAUUUGAGAUCUAACAACUACUUUUCGAGUUAUAUCUAAUAAUGCGUUUUUACUUGACGCUUUCUUCGUCGACCUACGUUGUAUUAUACCGCAUAACUUUCUACUGGAUGUACCGAUUUUGAUAAUUAUUUUUUUGUUGGAAAGGAGAUAUCCCUAGUUUGGUACUGUGAUAAGGAAACCAGGAUCUGAUGAUGGGAUCCCAGAGAAAUCGAGGGAAACUCUCGAAAAUCCGUAAUAACUUUUUACUGGGUGUACCGAUUUUGACAAUUUUUAAUUUAAUCGAAAGCUGAUGUUUAUCAUGUGGCCACAUAUAAAUUUUAUCGAGAUCUGAUAACUACUUUUUGAGUAAUCUUUGAUAACGCGUAGUUGCUUGACUAUUUUUAUCGUCGAUCUACGUUGUAUUACUUGUCGAUGUAAUUGAAGUCGGUUUUUUUUUCGUUUGCGAGCAAACACAAUUAUUUAUGUAUGUUACAUCAGAACUUUUGACCGGGUAGACCGAUUUCGACAAAUUUUGUUUUAAUCGAAAGGUGGUGUGUGCCAAUUGGUCCCAUUUAAAUUUAUUUGAGAUCUAACAACUACUUUUCGAGUUAUAUCUAAUAAUGCGUUUUUACUUGACGCUUUUUUCGUCGACCUACGUUGUAUUAUACCGCAUAACUUUCUACUGGAUGUACCGAUUUUGAUACUUCUUUUUUUGUUAAAAAGAAGAUAUCUCUAGCUUAGUACCAUGAUAAGGAAACCAGGAUCUGAUGAUGGGAUCCCAGAGAAAUCG
rnacentral:misc_RNA from 1 species